UGGGGAAUUUUGCGCAAUGGGGGAAACCCUGACGCAGCGACGCCGCGUGGAGGAUGAAGGUUUUCGGAUUGUAAACUCCUUCUGUAGGGGAAAAUAAUGAUGGUACCCUAUGAAUAAGCCACGGCUAACUCUGUGCCAGCAGCCGCGGUAAGACAGAGGUGGCAAGCGUUGUUCGGAAUUACUGGGCUUAAAGGCCGCGUAGGUGGUGGCAUAAGUCCGAGGUGGAAGACUAAGGCUUAACCUUAGAAUUGCCUUGGAAACUGUAUCACUUGAGUCAGCGAGGGGAUGGCGGAAUUCCAGGUGUAGCGGUGAAAUGCGUAGAUAUCUGGAGGAAGGCCGGUGGCGAAGGCGGCCAUCUGGCGCUGAACUGACACUGAGGCGCGAAAGCGUGGGGAGCAAACAGGGAUUAGAUACCCUGGUAGUCCACGCCCUAAACGGUGGGUACUAGGUGUAGGGCUCGGCAAGGGUUCUAGUGCCGUAGGGAAACCAUUAAGUACCCCGCCUGGGGAGUACGGCCGCAAGGUU
rnacentral:rRNA from 1 species